rnacentral:tRNA from 1 species
UGUACGUUGGUGCAACGGUAGCACACUUGGUCGCGUAAAGAAAGAAUGUGGGUUCAAGUCCCAGACGUACGG